rnacentral:tRNA from 1 species
CGGGAAGUAGCUCAGCUCGGUAGAGCACUUGGUUUGGGACCAAGGGGUCGCAGGUUCGAAUCCUGUCUUCCCGA